rnacentral:lncRNA from 1 species
CACAGGAGAGCGUGGCUCAUAAUCCACUUUGCCCAAACAGAAUGCAUAUUGAAACGGCGUGCUUGCCAAAGAGAGAGAGAGUCGUCACUCAUCGUCAGCCUCAUAAGCAGUUCUUAGAAAGGAUUUAGACAUAUACAAUUGAGAGAAUCCUGUUGGGCUGAAUCACCGCCUGGUACGGCAACUGCACCGCCCACAACUACAGGGCUCUCCGGAGGGUGGUGCGGUCUGCCCAACGCAUCACCGGGGGCAAACUACCUGCCCUCCAAGACACCUAAGGCACCCAGUGUCAUAGGAAGGCCAAAAAGAUCAUCAAGGACAACAACCACCCGAGCCACUGCCUGUUCACCCCGCAAUCAUCCAGAAGGCGAGAUACAGGAGGCCAGGGUGCAUUGGAAGACACCUGUGAGUGAGCAGCACGAGCCAGCUAGCGCUCUGGCAGUGGAGCCAACGCCUCAGCGGGAACCCGACUUUAUCUCCUCUUUAGAAACAUUUCCUAGGAGCCCAAAACACAGCCAACCUGACAGAAAGGGAGAGAUACAGGGCCAAUACUGGAGUUUACUUACAUCAUGUGCUGAACACCCUUUCAUUCCCUUAAUAUGCUGUCACAGCAAGGACACAAAUUAGAUGAGCUCUGGUAUGUCUCCACACCGCAUGCCACGGAGGAUGACAGAUAUUCUCAUGGGAAAUGUGGAAACAGAUAGAGAAGGAGAGAGAGAGAGCGAGAAUGAAAAAGAGAGAGAGAAACUCCUCCCCUCUCUCUUCCCAACCCAG